CAAGAGUGCUUGGCAAACUGCCAGUCAAGCCAUGUUGCAGUAGGGCAACAUGCAAUAAGACCUACUUGAUACCUACUGUUUUCAGCUCAAGUUGUUUCCCAUGUGGGUGGAGCCAUCGCCAAGUUGUUCUUUUUUUGGAGCCAGAAGUGGCCACAGUAGAGCGGUGUGGCUGUCCCCCAGGUGCCCCAAAUGGCUUGUCACCGCUCGCUGUGAUCAUGAAAAGAUUUGCUGGUUGUGGUGUCACCCGACGCUAUCAGGAGCAAAAUGUUCGCAGCACAGAGCACUGCUGAGUAAUGACUGGUACCCAAAGAGUCACCCCAACAAUUGGAUCCCUUUAAGAUUAAUGUGAACUUAAACUGCACCCAAAGCCAUAAGAAAAUGGGAAAAAAGUUGGAAAUAAAACAAAAAGUCUGCAGGAGGGCGUGCUGCACAAUCUUCUACAGGCAGAAAUAUUUCAGAGAAGUCAGGAAAUGCUACUGAAAUUAAGGUUUUGAUGGAAGAAAAUGAUUAAUCUUUAUGUCUCAUGUUUUAUGAUUUUCUGUCAUUUCUCUUCAUUUAAUAAGUGACAUAGAAAGUGUAUUGCUGACCAGAUUGACCAGCUGAUUCUGGCCACCUGCGUAACCUCUGGCAGGCUUGAGUGAGAAAAAUGGAUUAGAAAACAAACAACAGAAGCGCCUGAGGCUCAUACUGCUGGCUGCAUGUUAGCACCAUGCAGCUUCAGUAAGAGAAAAAGCAGAGCUCACAUGUCAAGAAAAAAAUAAAUCAACAAAUACAGUGAAAAAAAAAAUAUAUAUAUAUAUAACCCAGUCUAGGGGCAGUUGGUGGAAGAUGACGGGGGGCAACAGUUUCUUCCUUUAAGGCAGUAGUUGUCAAACCUUUUCUCUCAUGCACCUCUUCUGCUGCCAAAAAACAUUUAGUACCCAAG